AUUGAACGCUGGCGGCAGGCCUAACACAUGCAAGUCGAGCGGAUGAAGGGAGCUUGCUCCUGGAUUCAGCGGCGGACGGGUGAGUAAUGCCUAGGAAUCUGCCUGGUAGUGGGGGAUAACGUCCGGAAACGGGCGCUAAUACCGCAUACGUCCUGAGGGAGAAAGUGGGGGAUCUUCGGACCUCACGCUAUCAGAUGAGCCUAGGUCGGAUUAGCUAGUUGGUGGGGUAAAGGCCUACCAAGGCGGCGAUCCGUAACUGGUCUGAGAGGAUGAUCAGUCACACUGGAACUGAGACACGGUCCAGACUCCUACGGGAGGCAGCAGUGGGGAAUAUUGGGCAAUGGGCGAAAGCCUGAUCCAGCCAUGCCGCGUGUGUGAAGAAGGUCUUCGGAUUGUAAAGCACUUUAAGUUGGGAGGAAGGGCAGUAAGUUAAUACCUUGCUGUUUUGACGUUACCAACAGAAUAAGCACCGGCUAACUUCGUG
rnacentral:rRNA from 1 species